GAUGAACGCUGGCGGCGUGCCUAAUACAUGCAAGUCGAGCGAACAGACGAGGAGCUUGCUCCUCUGACGUUAGCGGCGGACGGGUGAGUAACACGUGGAUAACCUACCUAUAAGACUGGGAUAACUUCGGGAAACCGGAGCUAAUACCGGAUAAUAUAUUGAACCGCAUGGUUCAAUAGUGAAAGACGGUUUUGCUGUCACUUAUAGAUGGAUCCGCGCCGCAUUAGCUAGUUGGUAAGGUAACGGCUUACCAAGGCAACGAUGCGUAGCCGACCUGAGAGGGUGAUCGGCGACACUGGAACUGAGACACGGUCCAGACUCCUACGGGAGGCAGCAGUAGGGAAUCUUCCGCAAAGGGCGAAAGCCUGACGGAGCAACGCCGCGUGAGUGAUGAAGGUCUUCGGAUCGUAGAACUCUGUUAUUAGGGAAGAACAAAUGUGUAAGUAACUAUGCACGUCUUGACGGUACCUAAUCAGAAAGCCACGGCUAACUACGUG
rnacentral:rRNA from 1 species